rnacentral:rRNA from 1 species
CCUACGGGUGGCAGCAGUGAGGAAUAUUGGUCAAUGGACGAGAGUCUGAACCAGCCAAGUAGCGUGAAGGAUGACUGCCCUAUGGGUUGUAAACUUCUUUUAUAUGGGAAUAAAAUGUUCCACGUGUGGGAUUUUGUAUGUACCAUAUGAAUAAGGAUCGGCUAACUCCGUGCCAGCAGCCGCGGUAAUACGGAGGAUCCGAGCGUUAUCCGGAUUUAUUGGGUUUAAAGGGAGCGUAGGUUGAUUGUUAAUUCAGUUGUGAAAGUUUGCGGCACAACCGUAAAAUUGCAGUUGAAACUGGCAGUCUUGAGUACAGUAGAGGUGGGCGGAAUUCGUGGUGUAGCGGUGAAAUGCUUAGAUAUCACGAAGAACUCCGAUUGCGAAGGCAGUUCACUGGACUGCAACUGACACUGAGGCUCGAAAGUGUGGGUAUCAAACAGGAUUAGAUACCCGUGUAGUC